GACGAACGCUGGCGGCGUGCUUAACACAUGCAAGUCGAACGGUGAAGCGCCUUCCUUUUUGGUGGGUGUGGAUGAGUGGCGAACGGGUGAGUAACACGUGAGUAACCUGCCCCCUUCUUCUGGAUAACCGCAUGAAAGUGUGGCUAAUACGGGAUAUUCUGGGUCUGUCGCAUGAUGGGUCUGGGAAAGAUAUUGUUUCGGUGGGGGAUGGGCUCGCGGCCUAUCAGCUUGUUGGGGGGGUGAUGGCCUACCAAGGCGGUGACGGGUAGCCGGCCUGAGAGGGUGGACGGUCACACUGGGACUGAGGCACGGCCCAGACUCCUACGGGAGGCAGCAGUGGGGAAUAUUGCACAAUGGGCGCAGGCCUGAUGCAGCGACGCCGCGUGAGGGAUGGAGGCCUUCGGGUUGUGAACCUCUUUCGCCAGUGAAGCAGGCCUGCCUCGUUUGUGGGUGGGUUGACGGUAGCUGGAUAAGAAGCGCCGGCUAACUACGUG
rnacentral:rRNA from 1 species